GUCAUACUUAAAGGGAUGUUCUAGGAACAAUAAUUUCAUAUCAUUGAAUUGGUUGUAGUGCCUAGACCACCUUGCCACUGUCCUUCCAGUCAGUGUUUUGACCAUUUCUGAAAAGCAGUUUAAAAAAAAAAAAACUGAGGGUCCCUGCGUGCCCCCAGCCCCUUUGCAGGUAUGACUAAGACAAAGAUUACACUUUUCCUUAGUCAUGCCAGUAAUGGGCAACUCAAAGGCUGAAAUUAAUCAGUAGAUACUUGGCUUAUCCUGUCAAUGCUGCCCAUUGCUGCCUAGGCUACUAUUUCAUCAUGGGUUCUCUUGAUGCUGGUAAUUGUCUUUCACUUUCGUUUCCCACUUUCUGGGAUUUUCUCAUAGGAGGUGAAAGCUACAUCUCUAAAAUGUGGUGUGCAAUAUCUCCAAAACCAAAAUGACGCAAAAUGGUACAAACGAAUGGAUUAGGGGAGCAGGGAGUCUAAUUAAAAAGAAAAAUGAGGACAGCAGGUCUGACCUAUUUUGGUCCAACUUUUUUUUUUUCUUUUCUAUUUUUAUUCCCCCAACACCAUCAUCUUUUCAAAAGGUGCUGCUUCUACAAUGCAGCCUCCCAUGUACUUAAAAAUGCAGCUCUUGAUGUUCUCCCGAACCAAAAACACGUCCUCUAAAUUAUUAAACGUUCUUGGCACCUGAUUAUGCUCAAAAGGGAGGACACUGAUAUCUUGUGUG